CUUUACUACCCAGUAACAGCAGAACACAUGGAGCUACUCAACAGUAGAAGAACCUCAAAUGUGGACUGGAAUGACAUGAGGACAAAGACUAUUCUGCUUCCCCUAAAAAGAAACAAAAACAGAGCCUAUAGCAGGAGUCAUAGUAUUCAUGGAUUGAGGCAGUAGCAUGUACCAUCAUUGAGAAUUUAUUUUUGAAGACAGGAGAAACAUCUUCAGAGAUCCUAGAGGGUACACACCUUU